GCUGUAGCUCAGCGGUAGAGCCUCUGGUUUCCAUGCAGAAGGUUCCAGGAUCAGACCCCAGUGGCAUCUCCA